rnacentral:sRNA from 1 species
GCGGAGGAAAAGAAACCAACAGGGAUUGCCCUAGUAACGGCGAGUGAAGCGGCAACAGCUCAAAUUUGAAAUCUGGCUCCUUUGGGAGUCCGAGUUGUAAUUUGCAGAGGGUGCUUUGGCAUAGGCGGCGGUCUAAGUUCCUUGGAACAGGACAUCGCAGAGGGUGAGAAUCCCGUACGUGGGCGCCUGCCUUUGCCGUGUAAAGCCCCUUCGACGAGUCGAGUUGUUUGGGAAUGCAGCUCUAAAUGGGAGGUAAAUUUCUUCUAAAGCUAAAUACCGGCCAGAGACCGAUAGCGCACAAGUAGAGUGAUCGAAAGAUGAAAAGUACUUUGGAAAGAGAGUCAAAAAGCACGUGAAAUUGUUGAAAGGGAAGCGCUUGCAGCCAGACUUGCCCGCAGUUGCUCACCUAGGCUUCGGCCUGGGGCACUCUUCUGCGGGCAGGCCAGCAUCAGUUUGGGCGGUUGGAUAAAGGCCUCUGUCACGUAUCUCUCUUCGGGGAGACCUUAUAGGGGAGGCGUAAUGCAACCAGCCCGGACUGAGGUCCGCGCAUCUGCUAGGAUGCUGGCGUAAUGGCUGUAAGCGGCCCGUCUUGAAACACGGACCAAGGAGUCUAACAUCUAUGCGAGUGUUUGGGUGUCAAGCCCGGGCGCGUAAUGAAAGUGAACGGAGGUGGGAACCGCAAGGUGCACCAUCGACCGAUCCUGAUGUCUUCGGAUGGAUUUGAGUAAGAGCAUAGCUGUUGGGACCCGAAAGAUGGUGAACUAUGCUUGAAUAGGGUGAAGCCAGAGGAAACUCUGGUGGAGGCUCGCAGCGGUUCUGACGUGCAAAUCGAUCGUCAAAUUUGGGCAUA